GAUGAACGCUGGCGGCGUGCCUAACACAUGCAAGUCGAACGGAGCUGCUUUGAUGAAGUUUUCGGAUGGAUUUAAAACAGCUUAGUGGCGGACGGGUGAGUAACGCGUGGGUAACCUGCCUCACACUGGGGGAUAACAGUUAGAAAUAGCUGCUAAUACCGCAUAAGCGCACGGUUCCGCAUGGAACAGUGUGAAAAACUUCGGUGGUGUGAGAUGGACCCGCGUCUGAUUAGCCAGUUGGCGGGGUAACGGCCCACCAAAGCGACAAUCAGUAGCCGGCCUGAGAGGGUGAACGGCCACAUUGGGACUGAGACACGGCCCAAACUCCUACGGGAGGCAGCAGUGGGGAAUAUUGCACAAUGGGGGAAACCCUGAUGCAGCGACGCCGCGUGAGUGAAGAAGUAUUUCGGUAUGUAAAGCUCUAUCAGCAGGGAAGAAAGUGACGGUACCUGAAUAAGAAGCCCCGGCUAACUACGUGCCAGCCGCCGCUGUAAGAC
rnacentral:rRNA from 1 species